UACCCGCAGCACAAGUGGUGGUCAUUAUUAUUGGGCUUAAAGCGUCCGUAGCUGGCUUGUUAGAUGCCUGGGUAAAUCGAUGCGCUCAACGUAUCGAACUCCGGGUAGACCGGCAAGCUUGGGACCGGGAGAGGCGUGAGCUACUCGGGGGGUAGGGGUAAAAUCCUGUAAUCCUCCGGGGAGGACCAGUGGCGAAGGCGUCACGCUAGAACGGCUCCGACAGUGAGGGACGAAGCCCUGGGGCGCAAACCGG
rnacentral:rRNA from 1 species